GAGCCUGAUGUCAUUCAACCUGCUUUGUGUGAAUAUAUAAGCUGCUGUCUGUUCAGUGGAGGACAUCAACUAGCAAACAGAAAAAGGAUACUGAACAGGUGGAAUUAGAGAGCAUCACUUCAGCAACUUCAAUCACUGCAGUGAAGGCAAGUCAACAUCGGAUAAAAUCUCCAAGCACCUUCCAACAAUGAUGAUGAAGAUCUUUAUCGUCCUUCUCCUGUUUGUUGCUGCCCCAACGACAACCACAGGUGCUACAACGACAACCGCAGUUGCUCCAACAACCAACACAGCUGCCCCAACGACAACAGCUGCCGCAACGACAACCAUAGCUGCCGCAACGACAACCAUAGCUGCCCCAACGACAACCACGGCUGCUCCGACUACAACAGCUGCCCCAACGGCAACCACAGCUGCUGCAACGUCAACCACAGUUGCCCCAACAACAACCACAGCUGCCCCAACAACAACCACGGCUGCUCCAACUACAACAGCUGCCCCAAUGACAACCACAGCUGCCCCAACAACCACCACAGCUGCUCAAACGUCAACAGCUGCCCCAACGACAACUACAGCUGCUCCAAUGUCAACCACAGUUGCUGCAACGACAAUCGCAGUUGCUCCAACUACAACCACAGCUGCCCAAACGACAACCACAGCUGCCCCAACAACAACCACGGCUGCUCCAACUACAACAGCUGCUCCAACAACAACCACAGCUGCCC